ACCUGAAAGGGAUUUUGGCUUUCUUUAGUGGUUAGCGAGGUGGUCAGGGGAGCAAUGGUGGGCUCUCUCUAACCAUCUAAUACCCAGUACUGGGCCUCUAGUCCAUCACAGACACCUUAUCCUGGUCUCACACAUCUUGGACACACUGGACAUUACCGACACCGGCCCGGUCUGGCUCUGGUAGCCACAGACCGUAGCAGUGUAGAUGGCCGCAGCACCGAGGUCAAUGUCCCCUUACCGACGCCCAUACAGCCACAUGCCACACUCCAGCAUGCAGACAUCCAGUCCCAGGCUGCCGACUGAUUUAAUUGGGCUGCAUUUUAUGUGUAGGACGAGCCAACAGAACAUCUGACCAUGAAGCUUGCCAGGCUGUGGAUCCUACAGGUCUGCAAUCACAGAAAAAUCAUAUAAUUCUCCAUCCAUAUAAAGGUCAACAAAUGGGCUAGAGAGAUUGUUACAGAGGGGAUGGCGUAAACUGGAGAGAGACAACUAAGAGGACACUCGUCUAAAG